rnacentral:rRNA from 1 species
AGCAGUCGCCACGGUAAAACGUAGGUUCCGAGCGUUGUCCGGAUUUAUUGGGCGUAAAGCGAGCGCAGGCGGUUAGAUAAGUCUGAAGUUAAAGGCUGUGGCUUAACCAUAGUACGCUUUGGAAACUGUUUAACUUGAGUGCAAGAGGGGAGAGUGGAAUUCCAUGUGUAGCGGUGAAAUGCGUAGAUAUAUGGAGGAACACCGGUGGCGAAAGCGGCUCUCUGGCUUGUAACUGACGCUGAGGCUCGAAAGCGUGGGGAGCGAACAGGAUUAGAUACCCGAGUAGUCCCUGUCUCUUAUACA